CCUACGGGCGGCAGCAGUGAGGAAUAUUGGUCAAUGGACGAGAGUCUGAACCAGCCAAGUAGCGUGAAGGAUGACUGCCCUAUGGGUUGUAAACUUCUUUUAUAUGGGAAUAAAAUGUUCCACGUGUGGGAUUUUGUAUGUACCAUAUGAAUAAGGAUCGGCUAACUCCGUGCCAGCAGCCGCGGUAAUACGGAGGAUCCGAUAGUUAUCCGGAUUGAUUGGGUUUAAAGGGAGCGUAGGUGGUUUGUUAAGUCAGUUGUGAAAGUUUGCGGCUCAACCGUAAAAUUGCAGUUGAAACUGGCAGUCUUGAGUACAGUAGAGGUGGGCGGAAUUCGUGGUGUAGCGGUGAAAUGCUUAGAUAUCACGAAGAACUCCGAUUGCGAAGGCAGCUCACUGGACUGCAACUGACACUGAGGCUCGAAAGUGUGGGUAUCAAACAGGAUUAGAUACCCUUGUAGUC
rnacentral:rRNA from 1 species